AUGGACAGAUGCUUCAUACUGAUUCUCAUUGUGGGAACAGGUUUGGUGGCUGGAGACAGCAUUGAGCCAGAUAAAGGGACAGAAAAAACUUCUAAAGAAACAGAAACUGUCAAGCUGAGCUGCUCAUACAGUACAAAUAGUGAAUAUGUUUGGCUUUACUGUACCACUGGCACUGUUGACUCUCUCCAGUGGUAUCGAGAGUAUGUCGGAGCAAAACCAGACUUCCUACUUCUUGUCACUGAAUAUUCAAGUAAAUCUGAGCCUGAUCUUCGUCUGUAUUCAAAAGCUACAAAAGAAAUCAAACGUGUGGAUCUGGUGAUCUUCUCUGCUGCUGUAUCAGACUCUGCUCUGUAUUAUUGUGCUCUGAGGCCCACAGUCACAGGAAACACAAGAACACUGUACAAAAACCUGAUGCACGGUAUUGCAUCUGUAUUACACAAAUGUGUUUCGUAA